UCAAUCAAAUUGAAAAGUUUU
rnacentral:piRNA from 1 species